rnacentral:tRNA from 1 species
GGCGGAAUUGGCAGACGCGCUAGACUUAGGAUCUAGUGUCUACGAUGUGCAGGUUCAAGUCCGUGCA